rnacentral:rRNA from 1 species
CCCUUUGUUGUCCGACUCUGUUGCCUCCGGGGCGACCCUGCCUUCGGGCGGGGGCUCCGGGUGGACACUUCAAACUCUUGCGUAACUUUGCAGUCUGAGUAAACUUAAUUAAUAAAUUAAAACUUUUAACAACGGAUCUCUUGGUUCUGGCAUCGAUGAAGAACGCAGCGAAAUGCGAUAAGUAAUGUGAAUUGCAGAAUUCAGUGAAUCAUCGAAUCUUUGAACGCACAUUGCGCCCCCUGGUAUUCCGGGGGGCAUGCCUGUUCGAGCGUCAUUUCACCACUCAAGCCUCGCUUGGUAUUGGGCAACGCGGUCCGCCGCGUGCCUCAAAUCGACCGGCUGGGUCUUCUGUCCCCUAAGCGUUGUGGAAACUAUUCGCUAAAGGGUGCUCGGGAGGCUACGCCGUAAAACAACCCCAUUUCUAAGGUUGACCUCGGAUCAGGUAGGGAUACCCGCUGAACUUAAGCA